rnacentral:rRNA from 1 species
ACGGAGGGUGCAAGCGUUAUCGGAUUUAUUGGGCGUAAAGGGCGCGUAGGCGGGAAGGAAAGUUAGAUGUGAAAGACCGAGGCUCAACUUCGGAAACGCAUCUAAUACUACUUUUCUAGAGGAUAGGCGGAGAAAAUGGAAUUCCACGUGUAGCGGUGAAAUGCGUAGAUAUGUGGAAGAACACCGGUGGCGAAAGCGAUUUUCUAGCUUAGACCUGACGCUGAGGCGCGAAAGCUAGGGGAGCAAACAGGAUUAGAUACCCUGGUAGUCCUAGCUGUAAACGAUGUGUACUUGAUGUAGUUGGUCUCAACCCCGACUGUGUCGAAGCUAACGCGAUAAGUACACCGCCUGAGGAGUACGCUCGCAAGGGUGAAACUCAAAAGAAUUGACGGGGGCCCGCACAAGCAGUGGAGCAUGUGGUUUAAUUCGAUGCAACGCGAAGAACCUUACCCAGACUUGACAUGUAGAGGACAGUGGCAGAAAUGUCAUCUCCCGAAAGGGUCUCUACACAGGUGCUGCGUGGCUGUCGUCAGCUC